rnacentral:rRNA from 1 species
UACAUUUACUAAAGCACCAGAUCCCAUCAGAACUCCGCAGUUAAGCGUGCUUGGGCGAGAGUAGUACUAGGAUGGGUGACCCCCUGGGAAGUCAGGG